CACGCAGGCGGAUUGAUAAGUCAGGGGUGAAAUCCCGGGGCUCAACCUCGGAAUUGCCUUUGAUACUGUCUAUCUUGAGUUCGGGAGAGGUUGGCGGAAUUCCUAGUGUAGAGGUGAAAUUCGUAGAUAUUAGGAAGAACACCAGUGGCGAAGGCGGCCAACUGGCCCGAUACUGACGCUCAUGUGCGAAAGCGUGGGGAGCAAACAGGAUUAGAUACCCUGGUAGUCCACGCCGUAAACUAUGGAUGCUAGCCGUUGGAGAGCUUGCUCUUCAGUGGCGCAGCUAACGUCUUAAGCAUCCCGCCUGGGGAGUACGGUCGCAAGAUUAAA
rnacentral:rRNA from 1 species